ACACUGGCCAUCCUACNUGAUCCGAGGUCACCUGGUUAAAAGAUUGGUUGCGAGGCUAGCUGCCAGCUGGACCUACGGGAGCGGGUGACAAAGCCCCAUACGCUCGAGGACCAGACAUGGUGCCGCCACUGCCUUUUGGGCCCGUCCCCGUUGCCAGGGACGGAAGCCCAACACACAAGCCGUGCUUGAGGGCAGCAAUGACGCUCGGACAGGCAUGCCCCCCGGAAUACCAGGGGGCGCAAUGUGCGUUCAAAGACUCGAUGAUUCACUGAAUUCUGCAAUUCACAUUAAUUAUCGCAUUUCGCUGCGUUCUUCAUCGAUGCCGGAACCAAGAGAUCCGUUGUUGAAAGUUUUAACGAUUGUUUAACUAAAAACUCAGACUGCAAACUUCAGACAGCGUUCAAAUGUUAGUCUCCGGCGGGCCGUGGCCACGCCGAAGCAACAGGGUACAGAUAGACACGGAUGGGAGGUUGGACCCAGAGGGCCCGCACUCGGUAAUGAUCCUUCCGCAGGUUCACCUACCGAAAA
rnacentral:misc_RNA from 1 species